rnacentral:rRNA from 1 species
UACGUAGGGGGCUAGCGUUGUCCGGAUUUAUUGGGCGUAAAGAGCGUGUAGGCGGCCAUGUAGGUCCGGUGUGAAAACUCGAGGCUUAACCUCGAGAUGUCAUCGGAAACCAUUUGGCUAGAGUCCGGAAGAGGAGAGUGGAAUUCCUGGUGUAGCGGUGAAAUGCGCAGAUAUCAGGAAGAACACCAAUGGCGAAAGCAGCUCUCUGGGACGGUACUGACGCUGAGGUGCGAAAGCUAGGGGAGCAAACGGG